GAUGAAGAACGUAGCGAAAUGCGAUACGUAAUGUGAAUUGCAGAAUUCAGUGAAUCAUCGAGUCUUUGAACGCACAUUGCGCCCCCUGGUAUUCCGGGGGGCAUGCCUGUCCGAGCGUCAUUGCUGCCCUCAAGCACGGCUUGUGUGUUGGGCCUCCGUCCUCCUCCCGGGGGACGGGCCCGAAAGGCAGCGGCGGCACCGCGUCCGGUCCUCGAGCGUAUGGGGCUUCGUCACCCGCUCUUGUAGGCCCGGUCGGCGCUUGCCGACACAUCAAUCUUUUUUCCAGGUUGACCUCGGAUCAGGUAGGGAUACCCGCUGAACUUAAGCAUAUCAAUAAGCAGAGGA
rnacentral:misc_RNA from 1 species